GACGAACGCUGGCGGCGUGCUUAACACAUGCAAGUCGAACGGAAAGGCCUCUUUUUGGUGGUACACGCGUGGCGAACGGGUGAGUAACACGUGAGUAACCUGCCCUUGACAUUGUGAUAACUUCAGGAAACUGUGGCUAAUACCGGGUAUAAGCUCCUGCUGCAUGGUGGGGGUUGGAAAGUUUCUGCGGUUGGGGAUGGACUCGCGGCUUAUCAGCUUGUUGGUGGGGUAGUGGCUUACCAAGGCUUUGACGGGUAGCCGGCCUGAGAGGGUGAACGGCCACAUUGGGACUGAGAUACGGCCCAGACUCCUACGGGAGGCAGCAGUGGGGAAUAUUGCACAAUGGGCGGAAGCCUGAUGCAGCGACGCCGUGUGGGGGAUGACGGCCUUCGGGUUGUAAACCGCUUUCGAUCAUGACGAAGCUUUGUGUGACGGUAGUGGGUAAAGAAGCACCGGCUAACUACGUG
rnacentral:rRNA from 1 species